rnacentral:rRNA from 1 species
UACGUAGGUCCCGAGCGUUGUCCGGAUUUAUUGGGCGUAAAGCGAGCGCAGGUGGUUUAUUAAGUCUGGUGUAAAAGGCAGUGGCUCAACCAUUGUAUGCAUUGGAAACUGGUAGACUUGAGUGCAGGAGAGGAGAGUGGAAUUCCAUGUGUAGCGGUGAAAUGCGUAGAUAUAUGGAGGAACACCGGUGGCGAAAGCGGCUCUCUGGCCUGUGACUGACGCUGAGGCUCGAAAGCGUGGGGAGCAAACAGG